CUGGGCCACCACGAGUGUGCGUAGCAGAAGCUUGCGGUUGAAGAAAGCAUUAGAAGCAACAAGCAAACACCUGAAAGCCUGCUGGCCACUGGCCUGGAAGUUGCCUUAGGGCAGGCUCGCACCAUUCCCCAGUGCUCCUCAGCGUGCCCCUGGGAAAUCUCUCACCAAGUGCCCCGGAGCGCAGUCCCCCCUGUCUCCGACCUAGCCCCACGCACGCGCUCACUGCACCGCCCGGCCCAAGUCCAGAGACCAGACCCAGGUGCCACCGCGCGGAGGCCCAAGCCACCCGUCCUGUGCGCCUCGCCCCGCCGUGCCAUGCCCGGCCCGCUCCGGAGAAGGGAGCCCUACCUGGCCAGGUCGCCGAAGUCCAUUGAACCCAUUUGCAAACCGAUCGCUCAAAGACCCUACUGCCGACCCCUGACCCUCGCCCCGGAAGUUGGGGGUAACUCGGAAGUUCCGGCUUAGUCGCUAGGAAACUGGCCAGCUCGACGCGAGGGGCGGAGCUUCUGGCCUCUGUGUUGCGAGAGGCAGGUGAGGCAGUCCACUCCCCGGAGGCUCAUCUUCGCACAUGAGACCGACAGCACAGUAACUCCACGGGCUUCCCCACUCAUAUGGCCAACCGUAUAGGAUCCUGAGCACACACUUGUACCCAUGGGACCCUUCAGGCACAAGGGAAUCUGGGGUGAUCCACGAGCAGAACCUCCUUUGCCACACAGAUUCCCGCAAACCAAUCCCUCCCAACCCCGCAUCUCACAUGAGGAUCACUCUCUAAACUGCCCCAACAGUGGUUGGUCCUGGCACCCACUGACCUUUCCUUGUGCACACCAACUGAAGGCACAGAGGUCCCCGUCUUAACACAUGCAUAUUAAACAGUCUGCACCCAC